rnacentral:lncRNA from 1 species
CAGCAUAACAUUACUCUCAUUAAUCUUGCAAAUACAAGUGCUAGGCAUCUCCUUUUAUAGGCUAAGGAGGCCGUAAAUGUUAAGCUAAGUGCACAUGAAAUGUAAGCAAAAUGAAAUGGAAAUGUGGAGGCACAUGGGCACAUGGAGCACAUGGAGCACAUGGGUGCACAUGGCUUCAUAAAACCGUCCCUUGAUUAGUGAAGGCUUCUAGAAACCUUUAGCUAAUCAAGGUUAACUCCUCCUUAAUUCUAAUGUGCAGAAAAAUAAACAUUUGUCCACAUGGCUAUGCUAUUUACACCCUAAUUAAAGCUAAACUACACUUGUUGGGCCUUCACAUUAUAUGUGCUAGUAUGCCACUCUCCCGUUUAUAGCUUGAUCCAAGUCUUCUUGUCCUAGACACUCCUAGCUUGGUCUUCUUGUCCUAGACGCUCUUAGCUUGGUCUUCUUGUCCUAGACGCUCCUAGCUUGCUCUUCUUGUCCUAGACGCUCCUAGCUUGUCUUAGACGCUCCUAGCUUGGUCUUAGACACUCCUAGCUUAAUCUUGGACGUUCUUGACUUGGCUCUUGCCUUUCAUGAAAGGUUGUGCUUGGCCCUCUUCCAUCAAUUUUCUUUCUCUCUCUUUUCUCUCAUUUUAACUUGGUCGUCAUGGACUUCCUUUGGAGAGAGAGACUUAAGAAUGACUUUGUGCCCAUGGAAGUUAAAAGAAAUUUUUUUGGUAAAGCCAUCAUGAAAAACUUUUCUAUCAAAUUGGCAUGGCCUACCUAAAAGAAUAUGUGUGGCUUCCAUUGGGACAACAUCACACAAGACCUCAUCUUUAUAUUUACCAAUAGAAAAUGUAAUGAGGACUUUCUUGUUAACAAUAAUCUCACCUACCUCACUUAAUCAUUGUAAUUUGUAGGGCUUGGCAUGAGAGAUGGUAGAUAAUCCAAGCUUGUUUACCACUCUUGUGCUUGCCACAUUAGCACAACUCCCCUCAUCCACAAUCAAAGAGCACACCCUUUCAUUAAUAAGACACCUUGAAUGAAAGAUAUUCUCUCUUUGACUUUCAUCAAAGGGUUUUAAAACUUGUCCAAGCAUGCGUCUUAUUACCAAUAGGUCACCCUCAUGUGGGCUUUCACUCUCAUUCUCACUUGGGGACCUAGAAGGUGAGGAAUGUCUAGAGUUUUCGGACUCAUGCUCACUAACCACUACCCCAUCAUGCAUAUACAUAUUUCGUUUAGAAGGGCAAUUAGAAGCAAUAUGUCCAUAGCUUAAGCAUUUAAAACACUUCGUACUAGAUGAUUUAGUUGGUGAUUUAGGCCUAGAAUUGGAAGUGGAAGGUUAGAAUCUCUAUAUUUGAAAGUAGAGUCCUUAGAAGGGAGAUUUGAAAAAGAGCCAUUUCUAUUUUUCAAAGAAGAGUGGUAGUAACUAUCUUUAGAAGAAUUUUUGAAAGCAUUUUUCCUUGCAAUUUGAUUUUCAAUUUUACUAGCAAGGUGAACUACAUUUUGUAAUGAAGAAUAUUCUUGUAGUUCUACCACGUCUUGAAUGUCCCUUCGAAGGCCACUAACAAACCUAGCUAUUUUAGCUUCCUCACUCUCAUCCAUAUGAACUCUAAUUAAAAGCGUGUCUAGUUGUUUAAAGUAAUCAUCCACACUUAGCGUGCCUUGAUGAAACCGUUGGAGUUUCAACAAUAGGUCUUUCCUAAAGUGUGGAUGAUGGCAAAUUCAUGGAGCUCUUCUUGGAUGUUGUGAAAAAUGGUGCGGAAGCUAUGGAUUGAGAUGUGCAAGAUCCUCCUAGGAGCUAUGGUGACCUUGAAGGUGCAUGAAGAGUGUGGAAAUGGGGAGGUUCAGCCAGCCCCUUUGAAGGUGGUGAAAGGUUUGAAGAUUAAAAGCCUAUUCCUAAGAGAGUUUAGGCAAGGAGUGAGAAUGGAACAAUUUUGGCAGCAUUUCACUAUUCAAUUAAUCUUACAAAUACAAGUGAUAGGCAUCUCCUUUUAUAGGCUAAGGAGGCCGUAAUUCUUAAGCUAAGUGCAAAUGAAAUGCUAGCUAAAUGUAAUGUAAAUGUGAAGCACAUGGGUGCACAUGGCACAUGGGUGCACAUGGGUGCUGAUGGCAUUUCAUGAAGGUCUUCUUGAAUCAUGUAAGGAAAAGGGGUGCGGAAGCUAUGAAAGUGUGUGAGCAAGAUCCUCCUAAGAGUGGUGUUGAUCUUGAAGGUGCAUGAUGUGUAUGAAGCUAGGGAGGUUCGGCCAACCCAAGGAGAGGUGAAGGAGAUGAAGUUUAGAGCCUAGAAUUCUAGGGAGAAGCAAAUCUUGGCACAAAAAUGGCAGCAUAACUUUACUCACAAUAAACUUGGAAAAUACAAGAGAUAGCCUUCCUAUUUAUAGGCUAUUUGGACGUAGAAGCUAAGCUAAUAGCUAAUGAAAUGGAAACCAAAUGAAAUGCAAAUCAUAAGCCAUGUGCCAUGACCGGUCACACAUAGAAAGCUUCUAGAAAGUUUCACUCAAAUAUGCUUUCUACACUACUCUAAUUACUAAGUACCCCUAAUGGGCCUUUAUGCAACAUGUACAAAGCCUUCUCUCUUCCAUCCGUGGCUUCAUUCACUUGGGCUUGAACAUGCUUGGCCAUUGACCUUGUGAGAGGACCUAGACGGUCUAGUUCCACAUCUAGAUGCUCCAUCCUUGUAGCUAGACGCUCUUCUUGGUCUAGACGCUCUUCAUGGUUUGGGCUUUGGCUCCCAUGGCUAGAUGUGCUUGGCCCUCUUCCAUCAGGUGCACAUGGUCCUUUAUUAGUAAAGGCUUCUAGAAACCUUUAGCUAAUCAAG